rnacentral:rRNA from 1 species
GGAUUAGAUACCCUGGUAGUCCACGCCGUAAACGAUGAGUGCUAGCUGUUGGAUCCUUGAGGUUCAGUGGCGCAGUUAACGCAUUAAGCACUCCGCCUGGGGAGUACGGUCGCAAGAUUAAAACUCAAAGGAAUUGACGGGGACCCGCACAAGCGGUGGAGCAUGUGGUUUAAUUCGAGGCAACGCGAAGAACCUUACCAGGACUUGACAUGCUGGUCGCGGAUCGUGGAGACACUUUCCUUCAGUUCGGCUGGACCAUGCACAGGUGCUGCACGGCUGUCGUCAGCUCGUGCCG